UUUACGCUACGAAAACACGACCGAGUGUUUUAACCUGACAGCCUGAGGUGUUCUUCAGUAAACUGGACUACCCGACAGAAGGACCCGAGGCCCCGCUGCACUUUUUCGGAGCUGCCCUCAGAUUCAGACCUCAGCACCACCCAGUGACCGCAGACAGCCCAGAUAGCAAGGAAACAUUGAAACAAUAUUGAGUCAAUAUCAGGCGAUGUCAUUGAACCAACGUUGAGAUCUGACGUUGACCCAACGUCACUCUUGCACCCAUUUUUAAUGUUGAAACAACGUCAGGUUUUGAUGUUGAAUCAAUGUUGAAACCUGACAUUGAUUCGAUGUUAUAUUUUCUAACACUGUUGACAUUGAAACAAUGUCAGAUUCUGAUAUUGAAACACUGUUGAGCUAUGGUGUUGAUUUUCCACCUCUUUCGCACAGUUGCUUUUUAUUGAAAAAAAACAAAAAAGGUCAAUAGACAUGUAUCAUUUGCAAAAUACUUUAUUAAAAGACAAAGUUUCCUAUU